rnacentral:rRNA from 1 species
GACGUAGGGCGCGAGCGUUGUCCGGAUUUAUUGGGCGUAAAGAGCUCGUAGGCGGCUUGUCGCGUCGACUGUGAAAACCCGCGGCUCAACUGCGGGCCUGCAGCCGAUACGGGCAGGCUAGAGUUCGGUAGGGGAGACUGGAAUUCCUGGUGUAGCGGUGAAAUGCGCAGAUAUCAGGAGGACCACCGCUGGCGAAUUCUGUUCUCUGGGCCGCUCCUGACGCUGAGGAGCUCCAUCUUGGGGAGCGAACCGG